ACACGACUACAUUAGAUACCCCGGUAGUCCUAGCCGUUAAACGAUACUCGCUAGGUGUCGGCCACGGUGCGACCGUUGUCGGUGCCGUAGGGAAGCCGUGAAGCGAGCCACCUGGGAAGUACGGCCGCAAGGCUGAAACUUAAAGGAAUUGGCGGGGGAGCACCACAACGGGUGGAGCUUGCGGUUUAAUUGGAUUCAACGCCGGAAAUCUUACCGGGACCGACAGCAACAUGAAGGCCAGGCUGAAGACUUUGCCGGAUUAGCUG
rnacentral:rRNA from 1 species